UAUAAACAAUAGAUUCAUUACAGAGAUACAGUGAACGAUAUAAU
rnacentral:guide_RNA from 1 species